rnacentral:rRNA from 1 species
GUGGGGAAUAUUGCACAAUGGGCGGAAGCCUGAUGCAGCAACGCCGCGUGCGGGAUGACGGCCUUCGGGUUGUAAACCGCUUUCAGCAGGGACGAGGCGUGAGUGACGGUACCUGCAGAAGAAGCACCGGCUAACUACGUGCCAGCAGCCGCGGUGAUACGUAGGGUGCGAGCGUUGUCCGGAUUGUUCGGGCGCAAAGAGCUUGUAGGCGGUUGGUUGCGUCGAAAGUGCAAACUCAGGGCUUAACUCUGAGCCUGCGUUCGAUGCGGGCUGACUGGAGGAAGGUAGGGGAGAAUGGAAUUCACGGUGGAGCGGUGGAAUGCGCAGAUAUCGGGAGGAACACCAGUGGCGAAGGCGGUUCUCUGGACCUUUCCUGACGCUGAGAAGCGAAAGCGUGGGGAGCAAACAGGCUUAGAAACCCUGGUAGUCC